rfam:Bombyx mori DNA, contig: Bm_scaf29_contig18470, strain: p50T/Dazao, build 2, whole genome shotgun sequence.
CUAACUCAAAUUUGUAUGGAGUUGGAACGUUUGCCUACGUUUGCCGCUAGGGGCGCUAUUCCAACUGUCUACAAAUUUGAGUUA